AUUGAACGCUGGCGGCAUGCCUUACACAUGCAAGUCGAACGGUAACAGGUCUUCGCAUGCUGACGAGUGGCGAACGGGUGAGUAAUACAUCGGAACGUGCCCAGACGUGGGGGAUAACGAGGCGAAAGCUUUGCUAAUACCGCAUACGAUCUAAGGAUGAAAGCAGGGGACCGCAAGGCCUUGUGCGUUUGGAGCGGCCGAUGGCAGAUUAGGUAGUUGGUGGGAUAAAAGCUUACCAAGCCGACGAUCUGUAGCUGGUCUGAGAGGACGACCAGCCACACUGGGACUGAGACACGGCCCAGACUCCUACGGGAGGCAGCAGUGGGGAAUUUUGGACAAUGGGCGAAAGCCUGAUCCAGCAAUGCCGCGUGCAGGAUGAAGGCCUUCGGGUUGUAAACUGCUUUUGUACGGAACGAAAAGGCUCUGGCUAAUACCUGGGGCACAUGACGGUACCGUAAGAAUAAGCACCGGCUAACUACGUG
rnacentral:rRNA from 1 species